rnacentral:rRNA from 1 species
CCUACGGGAGGCAGCAGUGGGGAAUAUUGCACAAUGGGGGAAACCCUGAUGCAGCGACGCCGCGUGAGUGAAGAAGUAUUUCGGUAUGUAAAGCUCUAUCAGCAGGGAAGAAAAUGACGGUACCUGACGAAUAAGCACCGGCUAACUACGUGCCAGCAGCCGCGGUAAUACGUAGGGGGCAAGCGUUAUCCGGAUUUACUGGGUGGAAAGAGCGCGUAGGCGGCAUAGCAAGUCUGAAGUGAAAUCCCAUGGCUUAACCAUAGAACUGCUUUGGAAACUGUGCAGCUAGAGUGUAGGAGAGGUAGGCGGAAUUCCUAGUGUAGCGGUGAAAUGCGUAGAUAUUAGGAGGAACACCAGUGGCGAAGGCGGCUUACUGGACUGUAACUGACGUUGAGGCUCGAAAGCGUGGGGAGCAAACAGGAUUAGAUACCCGGGUAGUC